UGAUCCUGGCUCAGGAUGAACGCUAGCGGCAGGCUUAACACAUGCAAGUCGAGGGGUAGAGUAGCAAUACUUGAGACCGGCGCACGGGUGCGUAACGCGUAUGCAAUCUACCUUUUACAGAGGGAUAGCCCAGAGAAAUUUGGAUUAAUACCUCAUAGUAUUAUAGAAUGGCAUCAUUUUAUCAUUAAAGUCACAACGGUAAAAGAUGAGCAUGCGUCCCAUUAGCUAGUUGGUAAGGUAACGGCUUACCAAGGCUACGAUGGGUAGGGGUCCUGAGAGGGAGAUCCCCCACACUGGUACUGAGACACGGACCAGACUCCUACGGGAGGCAGCAGUGAGGAAUAUUGGACAAUGGGCGCAAGCCUGAUCCAGCCAUGCCGCGUGCAGGAUGACGGUCCUAUGGAUUGUAAACUGCUUUUAUACGAGAAGAAACACUACUU
rnacentral:rRNA from 1 species